rnacentral:rRNA from 1 species
GACGAACGCUGGCGGCGUGCUUAACACAUGCAAGUCGAGCGAGAAACUUCGGUUUCUAGCGGCGGACGGGUGAGUAACACGUGGGCAACCUGCCUCACAAUGGGGGAUAGCCUUCCGAAAGGAAGAUUAAUACCGCAUAACACAAAGGAAACGCAUGUUUCUUUUGCCAAAGAAUUUCGUUGUGAGGUGGGCCCGCGGCGCAUUAGCUUGUUGGUGAGGUAACGGCUCACCAAGGCGACGAUGCGUAGCCGACCUGAGAGGGUGAUCGGCCACAUUGGAACUGAGACACGGUCCAGACUCCUACGGGAGGCAGCAGUGGGGAAUAUUGCACAAUGGAGGAAACUCUGAUGCGGCAACGCCGCGUGAGUGAUGAAGGUCUUCGGAUUGUAAAGCUCUGUCUUCUGGGACGAUAAUGACGGUACCAGAGGAGGAAGCCACGGCUAACUACGUGCCAGCCGCCGCCGUAA